GCCUGGGUAGCUCAGUCGGUUGAGCAUCUGACUUCGGCUCAGGUCAUGAUCUCACGGUUCGUGAGUUCAAGCCCCGCGUCGGGCU
rnacentral:tRNA from 1 species